CAAGCAUCAGCUGUUUAGCGCAGUUUGUAAUUAAAUGCCAAAAGUAAAGAAGUGUGAAGUUUAUUGACUAUAGUUUAAAUUCGUAAAAUUAAAGGAUAGUUUUCCUAUUACCUAUUAAUUGUAGUGUAUAUAAAUUAUUUAGAAUUUACACAUUUUUGGAAACCAAUUUAUAGAGUUGUGAGUGUGUUUGGUGCGAAUUCGUUUGGUAAUUCAUUCACUCGACGCACGAGUAAAUCACGGCUGGAAUUGAAUAACUAGUUGCGCUUUUUCCUCUGCCAAAUAUAACAAACGAUAUCAUUGUGAGCAUUGGAAUAAUCAUGAGAAGUAUUUAUAAAUCAGAGGUACACAGGUAGAACGCUCUGAAAACAUAUCCAAUGAAAACAUUUGAACAAAAUUCCCUCUCCUAUCCGUUGUUUACUAUUAGAAUUGCAAUGGUGUCUCCAACCCCAUAGGGGUGGGUUGUAUGAGUUCACCCCUUUUAGAUGCGAGAAAUUCUCUCUCGUUUUGAGUUGUAUCAUUGUUUUAAAAAACAUUUAAAAACAUUUGGGUUUGCUAUUAUUUUUUCUGGAAGCAGCAUACUUUUAAUUUCCUCAGCUAAAAUGUAUGUAAAUCGUUUUGUAGCUGAAUUGAAAUCGCUAGAUUAUAGGUUCUUAACUUUUUUAUGCUUACGUGCGAUUAUUGUGGCAGGUUAAUGAUUAAGAUUUUGGGAGAAUAAGUACUAAGGGGUCGUAAAAUCUACAAGUAAAUAAUAAGAUGAGCGUGUUGUUAUAAAAAUUGUUUACCUCUAAAAUACAGAAUAGCUUUGAAAAGUUCUUAAUGUAUGGGACUUCCAAAGUAGUCAGUCUCUUCUAAAUAAAUUACCAUAUAGCGAUUAGAAUUUACCAGAGUGAUUUGCAAAUAUGACCACUUUUAUCCAAACCUCAUCAAUACUUAGUGCACAAGCUGAUGACAUAUUUUAUAUUAACCCGUUGACUUAAAGACUGUGAUUUAAAAAAGUUAAAAGUUAUCGAAGGAUCGAUAAUUGGAGUACAUUAGGUCCCGAAACUUCGUAUUUUUAUUUCAAACUUACUCCAAACAAGAUGUAACAGACCAAAUGGUCGUAAUCCCUAUUUCUAUCUUAAUUGGGUCUAUAACAUUUAAAUGUAACGGUUUUACUGAAAGAUAUUCCUUGAUACAUGCCUUACUCGUUCGCCAUUUCACCUCAAGCAUUGUUUUUUCUGGAUGUGAGAUAGACUGCAAAAUUAAAUAUUAUUCACAAAUCCAUCUCCCGCUUUUAUAUAAUAUUAUAAUCCACACCGCAUGAAACUGAACUUUAUAGGGAUGAGGUCUUAACUGUUAAACUUAAGCAUUCGUAAAGUAUUCGUGCGCUCAUUUGCACAUUGCCAUGGGGAUGUGGAAACGAAGGGAAUUUGAGUACGAACGAGAGUGCGAUUAUUGCGCAAAUCGGAGUCAAUCUCAUUUGAAGUUACGAUACUGCGGUAUUGGAUUCGCGAAACGAAGACAUCUGAGUUGAUGUAGAACCGGGAACGCGUACGGAUGUACAAAUGCAACUACGCGUUGCAGUCUAAAGCUAACAGCAAGAGGAUAAUAAAUAAUAACCAUAAUCAUAAUAAACAUAGUAAAAAGCAGUAAUGCGCGUUCUAGGUACAUGUCGUCCCAUGUCGGUGUAGAUAAAGUGCUUAUUAGUUAGUUAGUUGAAUGAAAAAUGCGAAGGGAUGGUACAAAUAACGCAUAAUAUGAAAUGUAAGCAUGAAAAGUGAAAAGUAAGUGAAAGAGUAUAAUAAAUAACUUAAAACAUCUACUAGCAAAGCCUAGUCACCGGAAGCACAGUAUAUUUAGAGGGAAUAUAGAUAAAUACAAAUAUAUUAUUCAAAAGGUGUAGUGACCUAUAAAAUUAUGUGGAAAAAUAGUGGUAUGGUAUAAAAAUUGUCAGAAACGAAAGGACGUGCAAUACAAUUUUCUACCAUACACAUGGAAAUUCGUUUGAAGAGACAGGUACCUUUGUGGUGGAACUUAGUUUAUACCUUUUCGAAUACAAAAGUAAACUCGAUAAGUGGUAGGCAAAAUUGUAAGCAAAUCCAGAAGUGCAAAACAAGUUUAGCGAAACGGCUAUAAAGUGAAAGCAACAAGAGUAGGAAUUGUGCUGCAACAGCCGCGGCAGCAUUGCUCUUUAAUUAAGACUGGCAAUCUUGGUCGCAUACUCGCGGACUUGCCAAACAAAUAUUUUCACUUCAUCUCAACAGACGCAAAAGCACACACAUUAGUGUAAACUUUUAUCAACAUAUAUGCGCACUUAGGGCAAGUGGAGUGUAUCAGCUUCUAGGCGCAGCAUACGCUAAAGCAGGAGGCAAGAAUAACAAACAUUGCAAGCGUUGAAGAGACACGGCGUAAAGCAGUGGCAAUAUUUGCAGAAUCCAAGCUGAAAAACGUUUCCGCUAGCUGUUGGUGGAAUAGCCGACUAGAGACGACAGCUUAUUGGCAUAGUUUAAAGCAUCUACAGGCGGCUGAGGCAGUCGUUUGCCAAGUAGGCAUUGACUUUGCGAGACAGCAAACCUUGCGGCUUUUAUGCGUACGUGAUACCGUUACACUGCUGCCUAACUAAAUGCCGUAUAGUUGAAGGAUUUUUAGUGCAGAAUAAACAUACACAUUCACACAUUUGACAGUGACUGUUGUGUAGUCGCUAGUCGACGUUGUACUAAGCCAUAUACUGCACUGCAUUGUACAAAUACACCCACUUUCAUAUACAUAUAAACUUACAAACAUAUAAUACGGUAUAUGUGUGUAAAUACAGUUUAAAAUCUGAUGUGUUUCGGUUGCUUGUUUCACCAAACAAAUUGUGUUUGUGUGUGUGUGUAUGGGAAAGAAUCCCAACACUAUCGACCCCGCUUUGAACUACCAUCUAUAGACGCUGUGUAGCCAACAAGGUCCCGUGGCGAGCCGUUCUUCGACAGUUGCCAAUUAGCCGGUGCCGGUGCAAGCGCAUAAAGUUGUGGUGAAACUGGAAAGUUGUUCGGCCUUCUUUAUAACGCAUUUACGAAUUUUCAAAUUGUGUAAAUUAGUUUUGAAGUAAGUUAAUUCUGAAAUUGCUGUCUGUUGCUUAUCGAACACGUAGAAAAGUGUGUGAAAUAAAGAAAAAAUUAAAAUACAUGAAUAAAUAAAAACGGUGUUCAACCAAAUGAAACGAGCCAGAUAAACGGUAUAAACUGCAACGCAUUCAAUAUCGUAGCAUACGCACGUCUGCAAUAUACCGUUAUAGCCGUCGCAAACCACAAUUCGGUCGGUGGCUGACCUACUGCGUUCGCCAGCACCCAAACAACCACUACAACAAAUAAACAAGAGCAACAUAAUCGACCGAUAGCGAGAACUCGUUCAACAACGCCUGACAUCAUCCACCGCAUCGUACUCGACGUCCACAUCGUCGUCUCAAGAUGACCACAGAUUUGUUGUUCCCGAAAAUUUCGGAUUGCUCAUACGUCUCGUGUUACUGCGAGGAGAAUGUUUGGAAACUUUGUGAACAAGUGAAGAAAACACGUAUCGAUGAACUUUCCAAGUGCUACGCGGUGUUCGUGUCAAAUGAGGGGCGCACGGUGCCCCUGUGGCGCCAAAAAGCAGGACGUGGCGAUGAUCAGGUCGUGAUAUGGGACUACCACGUUUUCUUCAUGCACAAUCCAUCGCCGAAUCGCUGUUUGGUGUUUGACUUGGAUACGACGCUACCUUUUCCUACAUAUUUCCAUAAGUACGUAACAGAAACGUUUCGCUCGGAUCUUGCGCUGAGACCAGAACAUCACAGGUACUUCAGAGUUAUACCCGCAGAAACAUAUCUAAGUGAAUUCUCUUCUGACCGGCGCCACAUGCGAAGGCCAGAUGGCAGUUGGAUAAAGCCACCGCCGUCAUACCCGCCCAUACAGUCAAGCAGCAAUGCGCAUAGUUUGGGCGACUUUAUCUGCAUGAAUGCGGGCAAAGGGCCCGGCACCGUGUACAGCCUCUCGGAAUUCGUGCAAAAUUUCUACAAGGCGCCGAAUGUGGUGGCGCAGCAGAAUAACAAAUAAUAUCAACAGUUCUGAGCAGCUAUCAUUGAAGUACCAGUCAAGUUAACGAGCCGACAGUAGCGCCAAAAUGCCGCAUGUGCACUUGCAGUAGAGAAAGAGAAAACGAAAUAGUUGCAACUGGACAAGAUGUUUACGCUUAGAUGAAUUAUUUAAUAGCAAUAGGGAGUAUAUUUAAUGUCUGAGUGUUCGGUGCCAUCAAUAUCAACGUAAAGGUCAAAUAAAUAACAAUACAGCAGCAGGAUAUGCCAAUAAAUAGGAGAGCAGAAUUGAGGACAACAUGAAUAAGUUAUAGCUAGUUUCAGAAGCCUGCAAAACCGGCCAUCAAGCUAACCAUAUUAUCUUCAGCAGAAAUUGCCUUCAAUGCCGCACUCAAAUGCAAAAAACGCAUGCUUGCACUCGGCGCAUGAAUGCCGUGUAGGCCAUCAAUGAGCAGCUGAAAAUGUCACUUAAUUUGCAUAUAACACAAAGUCACCUUAGCUUUACCCAGGCAUAGCUGUUAAGCUUUAACGACUGCAGGAUUCACCAACAAGCGUCGAUGAUAUUUCUAUUAUUCGCAGAGCAACAUAAGCAGUCCUACCGCCAGUCCCUCGCAAAUCGUACUAGAAUGCUUUGCCAGCAUUCCGUAACAAAUACUUUGCAAGUAUGCGCUAUGCCGAGGAAUAUUUUCAACUUUUAUGCAUGCCAAUCUAUUUGCUGUUGUUGUUGGUUGGUCAUAUUUAUAACCAACCAUCCUUGCUGACAUUGGCUCUAAUGUACGAAGUAGAAUUUGAUGGAUUCAUUGGCUUUAAUGGCCGCUGUUGAUGGCUUCAUGCUUGAUUGAAUAACCGACUGUUGACCGACGGAUGGUUUCGGGCACCAUAUGCAUCGGCAUCAACAACAAUAUUAGCUAGACGUCUGCCGGAAUAUAUGAUGAUGCUAUUGGCAUGUGUCGACGUUUUUGACACAUUGGGAGGAAGGGUAUUUGCAUUUCAUGGCAUAAUUAUGGUCAGAGGCAAUAGGUUAGAAUGAAAAGAACUUUGUAAUCAAAGAUAACACAACAUAAACUAUUAAAUAUUAAAUUAAAGUUUAAAUCAGAAAACAGAUAAAAAAUUACUAAUACAAAAUUAGUAAUAAAUAAAUGAACUAUUACAUCUACAAUAAAUAUCUGCUUAUAUAACUAAAAAAGACGUAAUAAUAUUGUAAUUAUAAUGAUAACGUAUUUUUGUAUUCAGAAGCGUGCUUAGAACCCAACAAAACAUAAAACAAUAUACUUAACUGAGGAACAAAAAUAUACUAAGGUUUAUAAUUCAGCGUUAAAAAUUCGAAGUAAAUAUAAAAAAAAAAAAAAUUUGAUAAAUAUUAGCAAGUCACUAUGCAAUAUGCAUUUGGCUAAAUUUUACUCCAGUUUAUUAUAACCUAAUCCAAAUUUUUUAAAUCACACUAAUAAAAUGACUGCAAUAACUGGGUUAUUUCUGAGGUACUGCUAAUUCAAUGUUACAGCAAACAGCCUGAAAAUGUUUCCUAGUUUUGUAUGUCGUGUGUCUGCGUUGAUAACUUUGGGCAAGGCAUAGCACUAUUAUAGUCUUUUGAAAAAACUUGCAUCCGAGUUCAUAAUUUCUUAAUUGUCGGUGAACGCCCAUAUGACAUGUAAAUACGUAAGUAGCAAAAGAAAAAUAUCUGAAUUUGUUCAUACUUUGAUGAAAAAAUUUCAAUUGCGAAAAGAAAGUUAAGCUUCAAUUGUAAAAUUCAGACUUUAAAUCCUAAAUUAAUGUUAAAGUUGCUUAAGUCGAAUAAGCUUUUCAUUUUAUGGGAAACUGAAAUAUUAUUAACACCUAAUUUCUUUCUAUUUAUGUCAUUUCUAAGAUAAUAGGUACGGUUUUCAUAUACGAAUUAAUUGGUUAGAAUACAUACCUUAAAUCUAUUUCCUUUAUUCUAAGUUAACUUAAGCCGCUUUAAAACAUUAGAAAAUGUAUAAAUUAUCGAUCAGCGACCGAAAAUAAUGAUUAUGGUUGCGAUUCUUAAAUGAAAAAAUCAAUUACUUAUAAUCGAAAUACAAACAACAAAAACACAGAUAAUGUCACGUUAAUCCAUUUUCGACGAUCUUAGCAUUUCGGUGAUGAUUGUUUAAUUUCGGAUUUUUAUAAUUUCCUUCACCCAUAAUGAUUAAUUUUAAUUAUUUUAGUAGUAGUAAUAGUCAUUAUUUUUGAGUACAAAAACAAAAAUAUAUAAAAAUCAUAAAUAAUCAUUAUCUGUGAAUUUUAACUCAUUUUUAUACUCUCGCAACAUGUUGCUACAGAGUAUAAUAGUUUUGUUCACCUAACGGUUGUUUGUAUCACCUAAAACUAAUUGAAUUAAAUAUAGAGUUAUAUACAUAUAUAAAUGAUCGGGAUGAAGAGACGAGUUGAAAUCCGGGUGACUGUCUGUCCGUCCGUCUGUGCAAACUGUAACUUGAGUAAAAAUUGAGAAAUCUUUAUGAAACUUGGUAGACAUGUUUCUUGGUACCGUGAGACGGUUGGUAUUGCAGAUGGGCGUAAUCGGAUGACUGCCAUGUCCACAAAACGCCAUUAAUCAAAAACAAAUAAAUUGUCAUAACUAAGCUCCACAAUAAGAUACAAGCUGGUAUUUGGCACACAGGAUCGCAUUAAGGAGGGGCAUCUGCGGUUAAAAUUUUUUUUAAAAAGUGGGCGCAGUUCCGCACCUAAUAGGUUUAAUGUGCACAUCUCCUAAACUGCUAAAGCUAAAAUAACAUAAUUCAUUGGGAACAAAUUCUUUGAGCACCUCUGUCUACGGUGUGAAAAUGGGUGAAAUCGGGUGACAACCCCGCCCACUCCCCAUGUAAUGGUACUGUUUAAAACUACUAAAAGCACGAUAAAUCAAGCACUAAACACGCCAGAGUCAUUAAAUUUUAACACAGGGAUCGUAUGAUCUGACUUUAUAGGAGCCGUGUUCGAAAUUAGACAAUGGGCUUUGCAACGCCCAUAUUUAGGUGAAAACCCAUAUCCUAGGAUCUGCUUAACCGAUUUCAACCAAAUUCGGUACAUAAUAUUCUUCUCAUAUUUCCAUGUUAUAGUGCGAAAAAGAGCGAAAUCGGAUUACAACUACUCCUCUCUCCCCUAUAACACCAUUUUAAAUUUCAUCUGAAUUUUUCACUUUCCAGUAUAAAAUAUAUAAAAAUCAAGCAACAAUGAUUUAAUCGAGGUAAAACUUUGCGUGAAUAAUACGUUUAAAGUAUGCCACCUUGUGACCAAAAACUGUCUAAAUCGAACCAAAACUAUUCACGCCCCUAGGUACUGAAUAUGUGGACCCCAGUGCCUAUAGUUGACCUUCUACCGAAAAUAUCGGUCAAUCCGCAAAGAAAUCUCAAACGAGUAUACCAUUUGACUUUGCGAGAGUAAAAAAGGUUCGGUUACAUUCGAACUUAGCCCUUCCUUACUUGUUAGAUCACAGGUUUCUUAUGAAGAUUUUUUGCUAACUUUGUUCCAUGACCAUUUAGAACAAAUCUCAUGGAUCAAAUUUAUGUUAUGGUAUCGCCACGCCCCUUUUGCACCCAUCUGAAAAUUAAAAAAUAUAAUAUCAAGCGUAAUCUCACACACAGGAUAUAUGCCUUGGUUUCUUUGACUAUUGCAAAUUUAAUCGUUAUCGGAUCCAAAACAUAAAAAAAAAUCAUUUCUGUCAGUAAAUACGGGUGCAGCUGCAGCGAGUUUAUCGAAAUAAUAAUUUCUUACCAAGUGUUUGUUAAUCGCAAAAGAGAAAAAGAAGAUAUACUUUUGUUCUAAAAAUGCAUUCAACGAAGUUAGCAAAACACCCCAUAAGAAACAUGUGAUCAAAAGUGUGUUUUAUUUUGAGCGAAAAAAGGGAUGAAAUAAUUAUUAUUUGUGAUUUUUACAUUCAAAAAUAAUGAUUACUUACGAUUUAUUGUGAUAUUAUUCAAAAUUAAUCAUUAUUGGUGAAGAAAAUCGUAAAGCUCAAUAUGUAAUCAUUAUUACGUGAUUUUUAAAAUAAAAUUAUAAUGAUUAGCUCUCUGUUAUCGAUAUAUAUGUAUGUAUCGAAAUGCUUAAAACACUUUGGUAUUUUAAUAUUCCACCCAAUAUCUAAGGAUAAUUAACUUGUUGGAAUAAAAAAAAACACAAUAAUUAAAGUAAUAACUUAAAAAAUUAAUUAAAUGAAAACAAAUUACAAUUUGAAUUACAAUGCGUUGUGAUGAGUCUUCUAUACAAAAAGCUAAGUUUCGCAAAUCAAUUGCCCUUGAAAGUUACACUAGUUAAUAAGUUUAUAUUCUACAUAAAAUUUAUUAUAAUAAUUAAUACAUUAAAUUAUCUAAAUUGUUUGUCAUCAGUUAUACUCAAAUAUAUAUAGUAAUGUUUUUGAAACGAUUUUUAAAUAUGUACACUUUUUAUACUUAACUAAAUUAGAAAUAUGAAUAUAAUAGUUUGUAUAUUAGUCGUCCAACCUAUCCGCACCAACAAAUAAUAAUCGACUUCACAUAAUAUAACGUUUGUUUCAAAGUGCUAAAUAACGAAGUGUAUCGAAGCGAUCGUUGUGGUAUUUUUCAGCAAUCAAAAUUUUACAAAAUUAUACCAAAUUAUAAAAUAUUUUUCAGAAAUUUAGUAAUCUCUCUGCAGUCUUUGAGGCUAAUGCUAAUGAAAACACAUUUAAUUUAGGUAAGCUUAAUAUAUAAUAUAUUAAGAUCUAAGAGUUAUUUUUUUUAAUAAGUAUAACUCAAGUCUAACCAGUUUCUUCCAGAAAGUUGUCUAAUAAGAAGUUCUGUUGUACGACUUAAGUUGUGUAAAGGUAAAAUUAAUUAUUUUUCCACUUGGAUUUACACGAAGACUGGAAAUUAAGUUGUAGUAUAGUUUUACAUAACGGCCUUCAUGUUAGCACGACAUCAUUAGUCUUCACUUGCUUGUUUCUUUUUCUUCUUUCUUGUUAAAUAAAAUACACCUUAUAGUAUAGUGUUUUUCUUUUUGAAUUUCUAAGCUGAUUAUUACUUCCAAUGGAAAAAAUAUACUUAAAUUUUCAGCUUAAUUAUGACUCUCUAUUUAUUAUUCGUUUAUAGUUCUCAGCCAAAUGUAGAUUUUUUACAAAUUCAAAGGCUUGAAAUAGCAUGCAGCAGCUGCAACGGUUGAUGUAUUUGAUUUUAGCCAAAAUUAUAUUUCAUUACUAGUAGCCUUUUGAACUGUUUAAAAAGCAAUGUUGCCAAAAUGCUUAAAAAAAUAAUUUUUCAAAAAAAAAAAAUAAAAUAAAUAAACAACGGCCCAAAAACACAAGUUAACAUUAUUUCUACUACUAACUACUUACAUAUUAUAUGUAUACUACGACUACUAUUUAUUAUUAUCGUACUAUUUUUAUGAAUGCAAUCUAUUGAGAUAAUGCAUUUUAUUGCAACUUAAUAUAAGUGAACUUUUCAUUAAAAUUUAUAAAAUACAUAUACACAUGCAAUAGAGGCAAAUGCAAGAAUCUAAGAAUAAAUGAAAUGAAGAGCACCACACUUUUCACAAUAAAUUAUACAUAUUAAAUAUGUCUAAACUAUAGAAAAUAAAUGUAAAGGAUAAACCAACACUGAAAACAUAUGCGAUAAAGGUAAAUAAAAUCCAUUAAGUAUAUUAUAUACAACAAAAACAAACAAACAACAAAAAAGAAACACGCAAAUAACUGUGUUUGCUUAUCUAUGCAAAAGCGGGGCGAAGUUAUUAUAUAUAUACAUACAUACAUAUGUAAAAAGGAAUAUUUUCACUGUGCAAGUCUUAAAGUUAAACCAUAAUUUUUAAAACACAACAAAAAUAUAUUAUAUACAUACAUGCUAAUAUUAUAAGCGUAAAGUAUUUAAACACAUCUACUAUAUACUUAUAUUAUACUAUUCGUAAAUUAAGCGGUUGGUGAAUUUAUCAAUUAUAUUUGAACUCAAUUGAAAGCAGCUAUAAUAUUAUAUAUAUUAUAUGUACAUACUUGUCCAUAUGUGGAGUAAAAUAUAUAUACACAUGUGCUAGUAAAUGCAUACAAAGCUAUUACAAUGAUGAUAUUUAUACAAACAUUUAACGGUAUAACUAAAUCUUUACAUCUCGAUGGUGUUUCUUAUAAACUUUUGACUCUCUACACACACCCUUAGGUCACUUAUACGUUAAAUUGUAACUCAGAUCGACACCCACAACAACAAUAACCACAACUAUAGCCAAAAAUAUAGUAAAUUCUAAGCCAUUCACAUAAAUUGCUGUCUUAAUCCAGGUACUUAAAGUUCUGUAUUUUUAAACUCUAUCACAACCCUUUAACCAUAUGCUAUAAUAAAAAUUACAAUUUAAAAAUAACCGGCUUAAAUUUAAAAACAUACAAUUUAUGCAUAUUUAUGCAUAUUAUAUAUACAAAAUGAUAUUUAAUGAACAAAUAGUCAAGUGAAAAAUAUAUGUACUUCAGUUAAAAGUGAAAAUUCCUUCUAAGGUUGUACAUAGCAGAGAAAGGUGAUAUAUGUUGGCGUUUUCUGUGUUUUAUUUUUUAUUUCUAAAUAACAGCUUUUUUAUACAAAUAUGUUUUCAUAAAUUUCAAUAAUCGGACGACGAAGAAAAAUAUAAAUUUGUUGUACCAAACUUGAUUUAAACAUUACCGUAAUGGAGAAAAGGUAAUUGAAUUAUAGUUGAAUUUUUCUGCUUAUCUUUAGAACUCUUGUUACAUUCGCACUUUUGCUGCAAUAAUCCAUCAAAAGCUUUCAAAGCGAGGAACAUGACUUAAACAAAAAAUGAGCGCAAAACUCGCAGGAUCUAGAGAUUAUGACAGUUACGUCUUGUACAUUUGACAUUCAAAUAUAUUAGUUCGAGACGUCAUGAAUAAAAUUAAGUUUGACAAGUGUGGCGAGCAAAAUUUUUUUAUCGCUCGCUCUCAUUGCAAGAAAAAAGUAGCUGGUUUGUUGGUAUGUCUUAUAGAAUAAGCACUUUAAGGUCACAUUGCCUAUUAAACUCAACCCACUUUUAUUAUAUGUUCGCUGACUUCCGUAAAAACAGAAACCUUUUACCCGCAAAAUAUAUGUGAAAUUUCUUUGUAUGGCGACUGCUACACGUUUAAUAUUAUAUAUUAUAUAUUGACUGCGAUCCAGGAUCCCGAUAUUUAUUGAAUGUUUAGUAUGCAAUAUUGAUGAUAUAUUAUAUUUAAAAUAUAAAAAUGUUAAAUAAAUAUUUAGUAAAUUUUUUAUCUAAUUUCGAUAUACAACGGAACAAAGCAGUAAAAAAAAAAGGAAAAUCGUACAAUUGUUAUUAAAAAUAUAUUACUUAUCUAUAUUUAUAUACAAAUUUUAGCAUUUUCAAAGAUCUGGUGAAUUCUUCUGGCUAGCAAUUUUUGCUCCAAUGUUUUUAUUGAAUUCUUUUCUUCAAAACCAUAGGCACUUUUCUCAAGUUUUCUUGAGACAUUUUGUCAAAAACGAACGAAAAAUUAAACAAAAAAUAAAGCUAAACCAUUUCAUUCCAUUUUUUUUCAAAAACAUGAGUUAUUUCGAAAAAAUACUGGCGCGAUAAAUAUUGAAUGUAUAGCAUUUACUCGCGAUCCGUCAAUUCAAAUUGAACGUGUGAUAGGCGCCUAUAUGACCUACAAUUCAGGAGUAUGAAUGAUAUUACGAUUAACUAUACUUUAAAAAUCAUUUUGAGAAUUUUCUUUAUAAUAAAAAAAUAUUCUAAUAAACAAAUAAUAAUGUGUGGUAAAGUAUGUUUCAAGUCACCAAAAUAAUCAGCAAACUAAAAUAAGAAUAUACCUAUACUCGUUUACGGUAUUUACUCAAAUGACAAUGGAAAUUUGGAAUGGAAGCGUUAAUUGAGAAUUGUUUAAGUAUUCUAAGGUCAAAGCAUUUAAAAGGUGUCGAAUUAUGCAGUCGAAAAGCUUUGACGUCAUUCUGCAUUAACGCUUUGCACCUUGUAACGUAAAACGGAACCUUUUGAACUUUUGCUCCACAAAAAUUACGGUUUACAACUCGAGUUCAUCAAUGUUGAAAUUGGAUGUCGGCAUUAUCAACAACAACGUGGUCGUUCAAAUAAUUUCAAGUUGUGUUGUUAGAGCCCUUAAAUUUUAAUGGUUUUAUUGCUUGCAACCCUGAGCUAGUGCCGUUGUCGACAAUGUUGAAUGUUGACAGCUAGCAGUUGUGGCAACGGAAGUUGUUUUCGAUGUGUUUGUUUUUAUAUCAAAUUUUUUUCAGUUAUUUGAGCCAAUUUUUAAUCAACAAUUUUAUACAAAUAUAUCAAAAAACAAAUUAUUGAUUCCUUUAGAACUUCCUAGCACCAAGUGAGAAAUUUAAUGGCUUUUUACUUGUAACAAUAUUUUUAUUGCAGAUGGAAAAGUUAAUAUAGUUUUAUAAGGAAGCACUUUUUGGUAUAUGAGAUGAAGUGACUUUAAAUAAAUGUGGGAGAGAAACAACUGUAGGUUUCACAUUGAAAUUAUGUGCAAUUACCGGGAUCCUUGCUGAUGCCUGUUAUCAAAAAUGAAAAGGGAAUAACUUCGUUCGACGUGCGCAACCUCAAAUACCUAUUUAUGUAGUUGCCUAGAAAUUCUUAAAUAUUUAUAGGGUUUGCAAAGUUUCAAAUUUAUAUUAUAUGUAUGUAGGCCAAAAUUGUAUUUAUGUAAAUGAACUGUGAACCUAAAGCUAAAGUUCUGUAUGUAAAACAUUUGGCAGUAUUGUAAUUCCUAAUAUCAAAAAUUAGUUUAAUUGAAUGCGUAGUUUUUUCUUUAAUAUUAAACAUUACCCUGUUGUCAGGUUUUUACAGUCGAGAACCAUGGACUGGAAUAUGGAUGGAAAUUCAAGAAUAUCGAGAAGUGGAUUUCAGCUUUCGACUACUGUGUAUGUUCUUUUUGUGAAAGUUUUCGCCCUGAAAUCGACGAGUAUUCAAUUAACAUAUUUCAAUCUGUUUUGUAUUUCCACUUGUAAUUCGGCUCCAUAUUCAAUAUUGUGAACAUUUCUUCCACAAUCAAAUUCAAAAAUUUUGAAUAAUAUUUCUUUGCUUUUCAUUUCAAUAUGAAUAUAGUGGGAAAUCGGGAAUACCUCUCAAAAAUGGAAAAUAAUUUAUGAUUUUAAUAAAUGCUUAUACAUCAUCACAGCAUCACUUUAAAUUAUUACCUCUCUACGGUUACUGAGACGAGUAAAGUUGAAUUCCUCUGAAAUUUCAGAUCAACUAACUCUUAAGAAAUGAAGAUUUGAUAGAUAAAACUGAAAAUUUUUAAACGAAAAAUCAAAACAAUUAAAUUUAUUGGUCACAAAAAAGUUAAUAAAUAUUAAAAUGGACAUUGCUUUUGGUUUAUAUUACAAUGACAGAAAUGUUGGGGCCAAAAUUGAUGUGCUGCACGUACGAUAAAGCCUUCUUGGUCACUCAAUGCUGAUGCCUAACAACAAGUUAACCAAAGUUUUAUUGGCAAUUAAAUGGGUUUUAAAUAAUGUUUGUUGCAGAUUCAUAACUUGUUUUCAUUUAAAUGAGGAAUCAUGUUGGUUUUUACUAAAUGAGAUGAAGGAACAUUACCAUUUCCUAGCUGAUUUAAGAAUGUAGUUAAAAAUUUUAACUUUGGGCUGGCCAAGACUACGAUAUCUACAGUGGUUAAGGAGUUUUUAGACAUUAUGAACACCGUAUUAGUGCGCAGUGUAUAAUACCUAAAUAACCCAGAGGAGCAUAACGCUUCAAAUAUUUAUCCUUACUCAAAAAGUAUAGUAGAUUGUAUCGACUCUUCCACACUUCUCUUUCAAACACUUCCCACGAUUAUUUUAUUUUUACUGUUUCCAUUUUUAAUAAAUAACUGAUUAACAUAGUUUAAAAUUAUUGAAAUAAAAUAGUUUUUUACACCCUUUUUCUAUUAAUAUUUCUUUUAUAGAAAGGCAGUAAUUUUUAACUACAACUGUUUGAUAGCAGUUGAAAUUUUAAGAUACUCUAGUCAACCCAACUGGCAGAGAGUUGAGAAUCGAGAUACCACAAAAAAGUUGAAGUUUGGCAAUACUUCAACCGUUGUUUUUUCAAAUUCAAAGAAUUUCAAAACUGUAAUAGGGGCUAAACAUGUAAAAUAGCCAAAAAUGCGCUAUUUUUAAUAAAAAUUUUAGCAACAAUAAUGACAUAAAUACAAUUUAAAUAUAGCAUUUAUACUUCAAAUAAAAAAAGAUGUGUUAAAUAAUGUUGUAGCUGUGCUUAAUUUAAAAUAAGUAUACAUGUAUGGUAUUACUCAAACAACAGCGAACACAAUAAAAUAAAAUAUGAAAGUCACACAGUUACUUGGAUGUUUACGUUGUGAAAUGGUUUCAAGCGCGUUAGUACUAUUUUCGAAAGGCAUUUAUUUUUAUGUAAAAGAAUCGUAUGUAAGCUCUUUACACAUAUAUAUAUACAUGUAUGUAUGUGAACUAUAUUAGUUUAAACAAUUUUUUCAAAAUAAUAAUAAAAUAUGGUAUAUAAAGAAUAUAAAAACAACAAUUAAGGCAAUGCAAAGUGGAUAAAAUAAAACAAAACGCAGCGAGAAGUUAAUAAAUCCGAAGCAAUUAAUUUAGAAUUAAAUAAUACUUAAAGGUUGCACCUUCAAGUACCCUUAAGCUGCAUACACACGCAGGUUAAGUCAGCAAAGCUGCACAAAAACAACAACACAACUAUUUAAAAUAAUCGCAUAAUCUACGGUCCGAAACCAAAUCACUUGCGAAUAGGAGUUGCAACUUGCAAGCAACAAACUUAAAACUCACACAUACAUACAUACAGGUCUAACACAAACACACAGCAAAGGAGUUCGACACCCGAAACUUUCACUAAAAACUCCAAUACAAUUCAAUCGGAAAAGUGAAACGUGGGUGUAUGCAUAUUGUCUGUAAUAUGCAACAACAACGCACAUAAAUAAGAUAAACACAUAAUAUUAUUAUCUAACUAUUGAAUAAGUAUUUUUUCCACAAUUUGUUACGCUUUCCCUCAAACUGCAUAAAUCGAAAUAAAUUUAUUAAAAAUUAUAAAAUAUAUGAAAA